rnacentral:rRNA from 1 species
ACGAACGCUGGCGGGCGUGCCUAAUACAUGCAAGUAGAACGCUGAAGGAGGAGCUUGCUUCUCCGGAUGAGUUGCGAACGGGUGAGUAACGCGUAGGUAACCUGCCUGGUAGCGGGGGAUAACUAUUGGAAACGAUAGCUAAUACCGCAUAACAGUAGAUAUUGCAUGAUAUCUGCUUGAAAGGUGCAAAUGCAUCACUACCAGAUGGACCUGCGUUGUAUUAGCUAGUUGGUGGGGUAACGGCUCACCAAGGCGACGAUACAUAGCCGACCUGAGAGGGUGAUCGGCCACACUGGGACUGAGACACGGCCCAGACUCCUACGGGAGGCAGCAGUAGGGAAUCUUCGGCAAUGGACGGAAGUCUGACCGAGCAACGCCGCGUGAGUGAAGAAGGUUUUCGGAUCGUAAAGCUCUGUUGUAAGAGAAGAACGAGUGUGAGAGUGGAAAGUUCACACUGUGACGGUAUCUUACCAGAAAGGGACGGCUAACUACGUGCCAGCAGCCGCGGUAAUACGUAGGUCCCGAGCGUUGUCCGGAUUUAUUGGGCGUAAAGCGAGCGCAGGCGGUUAGAUAAGUCUGAAGUUAAAGGCUGUGGCUUAACCAUAGUACGCUUUGGAAACUGUUUAACUUGAGUGCAAGAGGGGAGAGUGGAAUUCCAUGUGUAGCGGUGAAAUGCGUAGAUAUAUGGAGGAACACCGGUGGCGAAAGCGGCUCUCUGGCUUG